rnacentral:rRNA from 1 species
CAUGCAAGUCGAACGGCAGCGGGGGUGCUUGCACCUGCCGGCGAGUGGCGAACGGGUGAGUAAUGCAUCGGAACGUACCCAGUCGUGGGGGAUAACGCAGCGAAAGCUGUGCUAAUACCGCAUACGUCCUGAGGGAGAAAGCAGGGGAUCUUCGGACCUUGUGCGAUUGGAGCGGCCGAUGUCAGAUUAGCUAGUUGGUGAGGUAAAAGCUCACCAAGGCGACGAUCUGUAGCUGGUCUGAGAGGAUGAUCAGCCACACUGGAACUGAGACACGGUCCAGACUCCUACGGGAGGCAGCAGUGGGGAAUUUUGGACAAUGGGGGCAACCCUGAUCCAGCCAUGCCGCGUGAGUGAAGAAGGCCUUCGGGUUGUAAAGCUCUUUCGGCCGGGAAGAAAUCGUGCAGGCUAAUACCCUGUAUGGAUGACGGUACCGGAAUAAGAAGCACCGGCUAACUACGUGCCAGCAGCCGCGGUAAUACGUAGGGUGCGAGCCGUUAAUCGGAAUUACUGGCCGUAAAGCGUGCGCAGGCGGUUUUGUAAGACAGGCGUGAAAUCCCCGGCUCAACCUGGGAACUGCGCUUGUGACUUGCAAGACUAGAGUACGGCAGAGGG